rnacentral:rRNA from 1 species
UACGUAGGGUGCGAGCGUUUGUCCGGAAUUAUUGGGCGUAAAGAGCUUGUAGGCGGUUUGUCGCGUCUGCUGUGAAAAUCCGGGGCUCAACCCGGACUUGCAGUGGGUACGGGCAGACUAGAGUGUGGUAGGGGAGACUGGAAUUCCUGGUGUAGCGGUGAAAUGCGCAGAUAUCAGGAGGAACACCGAUGGCGAAGGCAGGUCUCUGGGCCACUACUGACGCUGAGAAGCGAAAGCAUGGGGAGCGAACAGG